rnacentral:rRNA from 1 species
GACGAACGCUGGUGGCGUGCUUAACACAUGCAAGUCGAACGGAAAGGCCCUGCUUUUGUGGGGUGCUCGAGUGGCGAACGGGUGAGUAACACGUGAGUAACCUGCCCUUGACUUUGGGAUAACUUCAGGAAACUGGGGCUAAUACCGUAUAGGAGCUCCUGCUGCAUGGAGGGGGGUGGAAAGUUUCGGCGGUUGGGGAUGGACUAGCGGCUUAUCAGCUUGUUGGUGGGGUAGUGGCUUACCAAGGCUUUGACGGGUAGCCGGCCUGAGAGGGUGACCGGCCACAUUGGGACUGAGAUACGGCCCAGACUCCUACGGGAGGCAGCAGUGGGGAAUAUUGCACAAUGGGCGGAAGCCUGAUGCAGCAACGCCGCGUGCGGGAUGACGGCCUUCGGGUUGUAAACCGCUUUCGCCUGUGACGAAGCGUGAGUGACGGUAAUGGGUAAAGAAGCACCGGCUAACUACGUG